CACAAGCGGACCGGAUGUUCUUCCCCACUUCCUGUUCAGAGUUCUGCACCGGGAGCAACACUGCCUGGUCUGAAAUCCUGGAGAAUUUAAAAAUCCAGGGGAGGUACAGAGGCGGCCAAGACAGGGAGAAACAGCUCAAGUAUAGUUGCAUGGCCUCUCGGGACUGCUGUUUUCCACUGAUAAGGACUCAGUAACUGGAGAGUGAGUUUCUCCUGCCCUCCGUAGUAGAACUGAACCCGGGGAGCGUUUUAAUCACCCUCAUCGGGAAUGACAGAAGGAUCAUAGUCAGUUCCAGAAGCCUGUAUGGUUUGGAGAGGGGAGCCAUCCAAGCAAACGGCAUUCUGUAAAUAUUUAUUGGAUACAGAUAUGAGUACAAGCCAGCAUUCAGUGAGAGCAGUGCCAAGCAGGGGAAUGAAGAUGGGCUGAAGGGAUCAGGACAGUGGGAUGAGCAUGCUAGAAGGGGACGCCUUCUGACUUCAAGGGAGCUAUUUCAGGCCCGGGGGCAAGGAUUAGUGAGAAAAAUGUUAAGAGAUAUCUUCUGCACUGCAUUGAGCUCCGUAUUAAAAUCAGCUGGGGAGCUUUUUAAAACCACCCCACUCUUUAAAAAAGGGAGGAGGGGGGUGUGGGUGGGUAGGAGGACCAAAUUGAUUGGCUCCUGGAGCUUGUUCUGGUAGAAGACUUCCAACGUGAUUUUACUGAGCAACCAAAGAAGACAACCAGAGAGAAGGGGUGGAUUUGGAAAGACUCAGUCCUGCUCUGUGACCUUGGGCAAAGCCCAUUGUGAAUCAGCCGACUAACCCACCACAUGUAUCCUCUCCUGUAAAGAGAACGGCCUGAGAGUACACUACCUCUUGAUAAGCUGUCCUUGACUGAAAAAGCUUUUGUCAGGACAGAUGAGAUGUGGGCUCCAUCCUAGAUCUGCUGCCGAGAUUCUGCUUUAGUCUAAUGUACCAACACAGGGAAACCAGACAGACACUAGGAUUGUCACUUGCAGGACAGUAGGCUAGAAACCCAUUGUGUCACUGACCUUCAAGGUGUCCAUCUGUCAGUGUUUGUAGAUGAGUCUCUGUAGGUUAUAAUGUCUCUUUAAUAGACUGUAACCAGAACUACCUUAGUGAUAACAUAGAAUGUAGAGUGCACCGCAGAACAAGGGCAUCACAGAGCAACGCUGUUUCUGUUACACACAUGUGUGGAUUCUGACACAGGAUGUAAAAUGAUUCUAUGUUGUGGACUCAAAUUUAAAGGUGUGAUAAUGCUGGCUUUGCACAUACUCUAACACUGGCAAGAGACUGGGAAGAUUACAAGAUCAGUGUGCAAAAUGAUAUGACGUAUUCCAUAUGCAUUUUUAAAACAAAUGAAACUUUUGUCUGACAAGCAUGGGAUUAUAUACAUUUUAAAGAAAUCUUUCCUUCCACUCUGUCACUCAUGGCUACUCCAGUCCACUGUCAACUCUCCUUCCUGGGGCCUCCGUUCAGAGCAUUCAGAACAUUCCGUGCAAUUCUGCCUUAUCUUUCUUAAAAGACAGGAGUAGAACAGUGUGGUGUCUAAAACUACUUGUGAGGUUUAAGACUGACUGUCAACUUGACAAGAUCUGGAGUCACCUAGGAGAGAGAUCUCUGAACGUGUCUGUGAGAGGUUUUAGACUGGAUUAGUUAAGGAAAGAAAAGGCAAGGGCGCCUGGAAAUAGCUGCAUCUAAUCAGCCCCCAUCCCCAGCAAUCAACUGAAGUCCAGGAAAUUCCAUAUGUACCCAAAAGAAUAGACAUCCUGGAGCAUUCUGCCACAGUUAAGAUUAACGGAAACAGACCCCCGGCUGCUCUCUGAACAAAGAACCAAAGGCAAAGAGAUCAGAGCCGCUCCCUCUACUCCUUGCUGGGAAGGUGAUGGUCACGGGGGCAAGGGGACCCCGUGGGACUGGGACCCCUUGGCUGCCCUGGCUCUUUUGAUGAUCCUUUGUUCUAAGACCAUCUUCAACAGCAUCCCAGAGGAACCUACUUCUCCAAGAAAAAUAGUGACAAAGUAGCUAGAAGCUUAAGCACUCUUUGGCUACAUCACCGAGACCCUUAAACUUGUGUCUUCAAACCCGUGGCUUAGGGCGAGGCUUCUGUGGAUGUGAAGAAAGCCUUUCCUCUGCAGCUACCGUCCAUUCCAUAAAAGACUGAAGGUUUUCCCCCUCAGGUGACCUCAUCCUUUUCUAUAGCACUGAACGACACUGAAAGCACAUACUGGAUGGUAUGAGAGGAGUCAGUUUCACUCAUUAAAAUGAAGAACUUGUUUUUGCCCCCCCCCCCCAAAAAGACCCCACAGAUAGUGGAAAUAUUAGCCCCAUGUGAAUGACAAAUGAUUAGAAUUGAGAAUAAAAGAGAAUGCACCAAAUCCACAGGAAAAGGUGCCAAAACAGGA